GACGAACGCUGGCGGCGUGCUUAACACAUGCAAGUCGAACGGAAAGGCCUUCCUUUUGUUGUGUGUUCGGGGGGCGAACGGGGGGGAAGGAUGAGUGUCACGUGCCUUUGAUUUUGGGAUCACUUCAGUAAACUGGGGAUAAUACGGGUAAUUCCCGCUUGCUGCACAGUGGGGGUCGGAAGGUUGCGGCGGAUUGGGUUGGAGUCGCGGCUUAUCAGCCUGUUGGUGGGGUGGUGGCUUACGAAGGCGUUGACGGGUAGCGGGACUGGGAGGGUGCCCGGGCGCAUCGGGACUGAGAUACGGGCCAGGCUGCUAGGGGAGGCAGCGGUGGAGGAGCUUGCGCAAUGGGCGGAAGCCUGGUGCAGCGACGCCGCGUGCGGGAGGACGGCCUUCGGGUUGUAAACCGGUUUGGCCUGUGAAGAAGCGUGAGUGACGGUAAGGGGUAAAGAAGGACCGGCUAACUUCGUG
rnacentral:rRNA from 1 species